AGUGAACGCUGGCGGUAGGCCUAACACAUGCAAGUCGAACGGCAGCACAGUAAGAGCUUGCUCUUACGGGUGGCGAGUGGCGGACGGGUGAGGAAUACAUCGGAAUCUACUUUUUCGUGGGGGAUAACGUAGGGAAACUUACGCUAAUACCGCAUACGACCUACGGGUGGAAGCAGGGGAUCUUCGGACCUUGCGCGAUUGAAUGAGCCGAUGUCGGAUUAGCUAGUUGGCGGGGUAAAGGCCCACCAAGGCGACGAUCCGUAGCUGGUCUGAGAGGAUGAUCAGCCACACUGGAACUGAGACACGGUCCAGACUCCUACGGGAGGCAGCAGUGGGGAAUAUUGGACAAUGGGCGCAAGCCUGAUCCAGCCAUACCGCGUGGGUGAAGAAGGCCUUCGGGUUGCAAAGCCCUUUUGUUGGGAAAGAAAAGCAGCAGGUUAAUACCCCGCUGUUCUGACGGUACCCAAAGAAUAAGCACCGGCUAACUUCGUG
rnacentral:rRNA from 1 species